GCUGGGUGUGGUGGCUCAUGCCUGUAAUCCCAGCACUUUGGGAGGCCGAGGUGGGCGGAUCACCUGAGGUCAGGAGUUCGAGAGCAGCCUGGCCAACAUGGUGAAAGCCCGUCUCUA
rnacentral:SRP_RNA from 1 species